rnacentral:lncRNA from 1 species
UUUAAAAAAAAAAUUUGAUUUAAUUGUCUGAUUGAUUUUUCACAAAUGCGUAGUAAUUUUAAAAUUAAAAAUUCAAUUUAACUUCCGAUUUUACCUCGAGUCCCUUGGCUUCCUCUUGGGCCUUCUUACAACGAGAUUUUUUUUUCUUUUUCAAAUUGUCUUUUAAAACUUAUAUCAUUUAAUUAUUAUAUUAUAUCCCCAUUCGACAAAUUGUACCCCAUUCCCGAAAAUGUGUAAUAAAUUU